rnacentral:rRNA from 1 species
AGCGUGGAGACAGGUGGUGCAUGGCUGUCGUCAGCCCGUGUCGUGAGAUGUUGGGUUAAGUCCCGCAACGAGCGCAACCCUCACCCCUAGUUGCCACCGGGUUAAGCCGAGCACUCAAGGGGAACUGCCAGCGUCAAGCUGGAGGAAGGCGGGGAUGACGUCAAGUCAUCAUGCCCCUUACGCCCUGGGCUACACACGUGCUACAAUGGCCAGUACAAAGGGACGCGAGACUGCGAAGUGGAGCUAAUCCCAAAAAGCUGGUCUAAGUUCAGAUUGCAGUCUGCAACUCGACUGCAUGAAGGAGGAAUCGCUAGUAAUCGCGUAUCAGCCCGGCGCGGUGAAUACGUUCCCGGGCCUUGUACGCACCGCCCGUCACACCACGAAAGCUGUCUGUACUCGAAGUCGCUGAG